UUUUUGUUGUUGUUGUUGUUGUUGUUGUUGUUGCUAUUUCUUUGGGCCGAUCCCAGGGCAUAUGGAGAUUCCCAGGCUAGGGGUUGAAUCGGAGCUGUAGCCACCGGCCUACGCCAGAGCCACAGCAACGCGGGAUCCGAGCCGCGUCUGCAACCUACACCACAGCUCACGGCAACGCCGGAUCGUUAACCCCUCACCUAUUAUCCUGCCUACCACAGUAACCCAGCAAAUGCUCAACUAUAGCACUAUAUGAUCCUACUAUCAAAAAAUGGAAUGGAGACAUAUGUUUUCCAUUUCUUUUUAUUUCUUUUACCAAUAGAAAAAGAAGGAAAGAGAUACUAGGCUGACUGGGAAAUACUAAAUUGGAUUUCACUAUCUGGCAGGAAAAUUUAGAUUGAACUUAAAAAAAUUUAUCUUGCAGAUCAUAAAAAUAAUCUUCACUUAUCCUCAGUCUAGGCAAUAAUAUUUAGCAGCAUAAUAGUAUGGUCCUGAAAUGUACUUACUUUCUGUUAAAAGUAAAAGUAUCUUUUUGUUAGCCUUCAUUUCUUCAUUCCUUGCCCUUCGAAUUUACAAAGACUUUUACCCUGUCUUGGAAUGUGCUUUGGCCUCUAAAUAUACAUAUACAAUAAAAACCCAAGCUAUUUGAAUGAAAAAUGUUAGUAAUUCAUCUUAAGUGUUAAGCAAGGACUACACUUUUCACAGGUUUUACUGUAUUUUAGAAGAGCUAGUUUUCCCAACUAAUUUUUUCAGCAGUAGAAAUACCUGAGGGCAAAACAUUUUAAGCCAUGAGUAGGGAAUGCUUUCGUAUCUACUUAUUAUAGCUCAACUUCCUCUCUUUCCCCGUUUCCUACAAUUUCCAGGUUGUAACUUAAAACAACCCCCACUUCCAUUGCAAGAAGGUGAACAGGAAGAAUUGCUAGCCAUAAAUAAUAACUCACAAGUUGCCAAAUAAAGGAGCGAUGUCUCUAAUACAAAGUAAAACUGUAAACUAAAUUUAUGAGAAAAGCAACAAAAAAUAAGGAAUUUAUCCUAUAGUAAUAUAUGGUCAAAAAGAUGUGAAUGCAAUAAGGUUCACUUCAUUAUUGUUUGAAAUAACAAAGCAUAGACCAACUCAAAUAUUUGCUACUAGAAAAUGUGCAAAUAAUGGACUAUCCAUUAUAGAAUACCAAACAACUACAACAACAAUAAUAAGAGGCUGAGAUAACUUCAAUAUGGAUUAGUAUGGACCAAUAUCUAAGGUAAAUUACCAAGUGAAAAAAAACAUACAGAAUAUGAGUAUAUAGUAAAUUUCUGUAUGUACAAAAGGAAACAUAGAUCUCUACACACAUACAUGCUUCUCUAGUAUAUAUAUAUGAAGAAUACACAGUAAUCACUAAUACUAAUUAAUAUUCUGGUUGGGAUUAGGGGAAAAAUGCACUUAAGGGUAGAAAUCUUAUUUACGAUACUCUUUUUUUAUAUAUGUACUAUUUAAUUAUUUUUUAAAGAACACAGCUUAAUAUUUGGAACAGUAGAAUAAAGAACUCCCAAAAUAGCUUCUGCAUGAAAGCGAUGAUAACACUGGCAAAAACUGUCAAAUUGUCUCUUUUAAAACUCUGGAAAUUAACUAAAGGCUUACAACAAUCCAAGAAUUGUUUAUUUAAGAUAAAUGGUGGAAUUUUGGUAAGAAGAGCAAAUCUUAUGGCAUUUUAUUUUUCCUUAAUCCCAUUCCCCUCUCUGGUUCUGGAUUAGCCUUGAAAACCAAGAGCCACACAACUGUGAUAGCUACAUAAACUAGCAGCCUACCAGCUACAUGAGGGAUUAGGACAGACAGAGUUUCCCCAAAAUGUCCAUCUCAAGAGAACUGUCACUAUUUGACUUACCUUACCUUGAACUAUGAAAAUAGUUCCAUUUUCAGAUUACUUCAUUAGACUCUGUGAAAACACU
rnacentral:lncRNA from 1 species